rnacentral:rRNA from 1 species
UACGGAGGGGGCUAGCGAUGUUCGGGAUUACUGGGCGUAAAGAGCGCGUCGGCGGACCUGCAAGUCGGGGGUGAAAGCCCGAGGCUCAACCUCGGAACUGCCUUCGAUACCGCGGGUCUCGAGUCCGGGAGAGGUGAGUGGAAUUCCUAGUGUAGAGGUGAAAUUCGUAGAUAUUAGGAAGAACACCAGUGGCGAAGGCGGCUCACUGGCCCGGUACUGACGCUGAGGCGCGAAAGCGUGGGGAGCAAACAGG